CUACGGGAGGCAGCAGUGGGGAAUUUUGCGCAAUGGGGGAAACCCUGACGCAGCAACGCCGCGUGAGUGAUGAAGGCUUUCGGGUCGUAAAGCUCUGUCAGAAGGGAAGAAAUGGGGCUGGCUAAUAUCCAGUUUUCUUGACGGUACCUUCAAAGGAAGCACCGGCUAACUCCGUGCCAGCAGCCGCGGUAAUACGGAGGGUGCAAGCGUUGUUCGGAUUUAUUGGGCGUAAAGCGCGUGUAGGCGGUUUCUUAAGUCUGAUGUGAAAGCCCUGGGCUCAACCCAGGAAGUGCAUUGGAUACUGGGAGACUUGAAUACGGGAGAGGGUAGUGGAAUUCCUAGUGUAGGAGUGAAAUCCGUAGAUAUUAGGAGGAACACCGGUGGCGAAGGCGGCUACCUGGACCGAUAUUGACGCUGAGACGCGAAAGCGUGGGGAGCAAACAGGAUUAGAUACCCGUGUAGUCCU
rnacentral:rRNA from 1 species